rnacentral:rRNA from 1 species
GACGAACGCUGGCGGCGUGCUUAACACAUGCAAGUCGAACGCUGAAGCUCAGCUUUUGUUGGGGGGAUGAGUGGCGAACGGGUGAGUAACACGGGAGUAACCUGCCUCCUUCUUUGUGAUAACGCCCGGAAACGGGUGCUAAUACUGGAUAUUCACUGGUCUUCGCAUGGGGGUUGGUGGAAAGGGUUUUUGUGGAGGGGGAUGGGCUCGCGGACUAUCAGCUUGCUGGUGGGGUGAUGGCCUACCAAGGCUUUGACGGGUAGACGGCGUGAGAGGGUGACCGGUCACAUAGGGACUGCGGUACGGUUGAGACUGGUACGGGAUGCAGCAGUGGGCAAGAUGGCACAAUGGGGGAAAGCGUGCUGCAGCGAGAAUGCUGAAGGGAUGGAGCCGCUCGAGUUGUGAAAGUCUUUCGCUCAUGGUGAAGUCGCAUAAGUGGUUGUAGUGAGGGUAGUAUAUGAAGAAGCCCCGGCUAACUACGUG